rnacentral:rRNA from 1 species
UACGAAGGGGGCGAGCGUUGUUCGGAUUUACUGGGCGUAAGGGGCUCGUAGGCGGCCAACUAAGUCGGAUGUGAAAUCCCCAGGCUUAACCUGGGAACUGCAUCCGAUACUGGAUGGCUUGAAUCCGGGAGAGGGAUGCAGAAUUCCAGGUGUAGCGGUGAAAUGCGUAGAUAUCUGGAGGAAUACCGGUGGCGAAGGCGGCAUCCUGGACCGGCAUUGACGCUGAGUGAGCGAAAGCCAGGGGAGCAAACGGG